CCUCCACCUCGCACUGCAGCUCGCUCCCCCAUCCCCUCACCACCGCCAUGCCCGUGGUAGGCUUCAAGUCGGUGGCGGUGGCGGCGUCGCGGGUCGCGGCAGGUGGCGGCGUUGAGGCGGCGGCCGGGAGGAAGGCGCACCGCUGCGCGGCGGUCCGGGCGUCAUUGUUCUCGCCCAGGCCAGCGGCAGCCAAGGACGCGCGGUCGGCCUGGUGCAGGAGCUCUACGCGCCGCUCCUCCUCGCCGCGCGCCGCCACCACCGCUGCAGUUCCUCCUCCCCGCCGCGGCCGCCGUGGAUCUGCGUCGCCGCCGCCACCACCUCCUCCUCCUAAUCCCCGUCACCGCCACCUCCUCCGCCGCCGCCUCGGCCCGCCUUCAUCCUGCUCCUCUGACUCCCAACUGCACGCUCCUUGCGCCCUGCGGUUGAGCCCUGCUCCUUCAACUACGGCUCUCCACAUACCGCUCCCUGCUUCUCCGGCACCCGGCCAUGGGGUCUGCCGGGCAGUCAGGCACCAGAUCCGGGCAUCUGCGUUGUUUUCUCAUAAUGAUGCCAGUAGGGCAUCUGUCUUUUGCAAUCACCUCGAAGUCCUAUUGUGCUUCUCAGGAUGUGUCAUUAGCAUGGAAAAUAGGUCAUGCUGUCGUGCAGAAGGCUAAAUUGGAGAGCCUUUAGAAGAAGCUAUCAUAUUGUGCAUCUUGAAGCCCCUAAAUUGGAGAGCCUGUAGAUGCAGAUGCUGCACAGACCAGUGGCGUGCAACAUGGUGAUGCGUGCGGAGAUGCAAUCGGUAGCAGAAAGAAAAGCUGCUUACUCAGCUGAUUGUGCGAAACCAGAAGGUUGACAAUUUGAUUGCAAUGUUUCAAAACAGCCCAGACUCUACUUUUAGGAUGAAAUGGUAGAAGGAACAAACAGUGAGAAGAGAUUGGAAAUUUGAAGGCAAAUGAUGGAAUAUUUGAUGUUUUUGUUUCUAGUGUUGCUUUUGAUGCAAGAUGAAUGUAACUUGCAUGUAAAUUUUGAGGUGCUUCUCAAUGUAAAUCAUACGAUAUUGUAUUUGAUUUGAUGCUGUGGUAAAUGGUCUUACAAUUUUGGUAUAUAUAUUCUGGGCUGUAA